ensembl:lncRNA
UGCUGAGUCUGGUCCAGAGGCAAACUUGAAAGAGCAUUCAUCUGCCAUGGAUAAGAAGACAGAGAACUGCAGAAGUUAUCCCCAAAGUGCUGCCUGCCGCCUUCUUGCUGGCCAGCUCCUUUUGUAAAAAGAGACAAGAGCAAAGCCAAACAAGGGAGCAGGUGUCGAGCUUUUGUUGAUUUUUUUCACUUGGAAAGGGUGUAUAUUUUGAAGUAAUGACUGGUCAAAGAGGAGGAGUAUCAGUGCAUUUCAAGGAGCAAAGUGUGAGAGAUUUUCAGCUUGAUCUCAGAAAAUUGAUGUAGUCCACAUUGCAUACUGCACUGCACCUCCAGUUUGGACAGGAGAGGAGCUGUGUUAGCAAAUGCUCAACCAAAUGUAAAAACAUUGCUAAAGUAAUGGACUCCAACAAAGAUCCAAUUUCACUUUAGGGGUAAGUUAGUGUGUUUUCUUGCUGAUUAUUAUUAUUAUUUCUUUUUGCUUCUGGAUGUGUUUUUAUAGCCAGUAAACCGCAAACUGGAUGAUAGAAAGGAAACUGGAAUGUAAGUUGUAAAUAGCAUUAUUGACUAAAUACCAGUUGUAGGUUCUAUACUGCUCAUGCAUGAGCCAGAAAGCACAUCUUGGCUGAACAAUUUUAUUUCUAUUUUCAUAGAAGCAGCAGUUAAAAAAAAAAAAAUCAUUAUCACUUGUGUCUGAGCUGAUCGUGUUUGAUUUGGAAGUCACUGGGAUGCAAUAAACAGGAAACCCCAGGGUGCCAUUUUACUAAGACAGUUUUCAGAAAGGAACCACAGUUUCUGCUGCAAAGCACUGUUGAUUUACAUGGAUUUUCUUGACACAUGUUUUGGCAAAAUGUAUCAGCUUGUGCUUCUUAGCAUCAACAAAUAAUACUUGACUUGCAAACGAGCUCCUUGGCAAGUACCCAGCCACAGGAGGCUUGAAGAUUUGACUGAAUAAAAAAGACUUCCAUUUCACCAAUUUGUGAGCUGGCAUUGUCCCUGCCGUAGUCAUCUGCAGCCACUCUGUGCUCUUUGCUUCUCAAGCUCUUUUUUUCUUGGAUAGUGCAGCUAUUCAGCCUGUUAUUUCUUACCAAAUUCCAUGCAAUGAAAAUUAAACAUUUAUAUUUUCAAUUUCCAUAUAAAUGUCUUAAAGGACUCUCAGACUCAUCUGUGCUCUAAUGUUUGAGAGUGAUCUUUUCUCCGGUGGGAUGCUGGCAUUUGUCCUUCCCUGGAUAAGCCCUAGAUAAUGUUCAGCUUAAAAAAAAAAAAAUAGCAAUCACCUUUCUUUGUAUUUUCCCAGUGCACCUUUCUUCUUCUUAAGCUUAAAUAUAAUGAACAUAAACCCAUUUGGAAAUAAAAUUGUGCACUCGGUUAACUAAAAAAAAGUAAUUACAUUAUAAUCAAGCUGUCACUUCGUGAGAUAGUGGGAGAUGAAAUACACCAUAAACUGACAAAAGACGAGGACGGCUUUCUCUUCUGAACAUCAUUCACAGCACAAAGCAGUGUAGAAAUUCUGAAUGACAAACAGCGUAACCAAGGAACCUCUUGGAGCUGGGAAAAGGGCCACGGCACAAGGUCUAGAAAGACAGAUUGGCUUUCGUGUAGUGGAAUAAGGGAGCCUUAAACUGUGUGCAGAGCAAUGCAUAUGUAGGCUACUACUGCCCAUAGUCUGACAGCCCACCAGUACUGGAACAAAGGAUUAGAAACACUCAUCUUGAUUAGGAAAUAAACUGAAAGUAUGCAUCCUGCUUAGCAUGGAUGUCCCAUCUCUGUAGCUGUGGUGAUUUUCAAGGCAGAAUUAUCAGCCUUGGUUUCUUCACCUGAAGCCCUUAUGCCCUACCAAGCUGCCAGCAUGUAUUCAGCAGCUAAAUGGGCAGGUGAAUCAAGAUGAUCUGAAUGUGUGAGGGAUUGCUUUAUUCUUUGUUCUUGUCCUGCUCAUUCUUGGUACACUCGCACUGCACAUUGCCUUAGUACGAAUGGAAAUGCCUUGGUGUGAGGGGCAUUCUCAGUCCUGAACAAUAAGAAGUAUGGGUAGCCCCUGGUUAGAUGACAGCACUCAGGUGGGAGAAAUUUUCCUCACUUCUCCUGGUCCUUGACAUGUGAGCUGCUUUCCUAUUGUGGAAUAAAGUCUUUUUUCCCCUCCCGAUGCAGUUUCUUUGAGAUGUGAGUCUGUUCCCUGCUAUCCUUUCUCUGCAGCACUGCAUCCUUUAUAUAGGUGUUCCUGUUAAUGACCACUGAUCUGAAGUUUGAGAGCAAGCUGAUGGUAAACUGAGGGCACAAAUGUGUGGGGAGACAGAAAGAAGCUGGGAAUGUGCUUUUGGAUGCCCUCCUUGCCUUUUCAGAAGGGGUCAGGGAGUCUGCUCUCAUGGAUGGAUGGAAGAUGGCGUCAGGAUAGCCUCUCUUCUGCCAGUUACACAUCAAAUAGAGGAGAACUUGUUUGCACAGGGCCUUUCUUCUGGUAACUGACAAAAGCUUCAGUAAUAUGAACAGGGCUGAACUUCUUGUUUCUGUCGUCUGAUUUUGUUUCUGUUCCAGAGAUAAAUGGUAACAUACUGGGAGGACCGUGCUGUGGAAGCGGUGCAGCUGAUACCUUUGUUCAGCGUCUUGCUUUUCUCUUUUCAUGCUAUGCAUACGGCUACAGAGCAGCACAACAUGCUGUGCUGUCCAUGCACAGCGUUAUCCACUGUUCGGUGGGUAAGGCACACUUUGUGUAUUCAUGUCACAUCUCUGGCAGGGCACUGAGAGCUUCAGAAAAACAGGAGCUGAAGGAGCUCACUGGAGACAUUUCAGUAGGACAGCUUGCUUUUUCAGAUUUUAAGCUGUAAUUUGUUUAAGUGUAAUUAAUUUUGUUUUUCUGAGAAGAGCAGAAGGAUUUCAGUUCCAAGGAACUGAACAUGAAAUGAAGUGCCACAAAAAUAAAUAAAUAGAUGGAUAGAUGCUUUUCCAAAUGCCUAUGUAACCGUAUAGUCUCUGUUUUGAUAGAAAUAACAUCUUUUGUCAGAAACAGCUUCUGACAGUAGCUUCCUCCCCAGAUAAAAGUAACAGUUUUAAAGCUAAUGUUUUUUUUUCUGUCACCAAACCUAAGCAUAAGCAACCCCACUCAAGGACUGCUAAUAGUGGACUACUGAUGAGCUGUAAACUGAAGACUUCUCAGCCUUUAAGCAUCUCCCUAAUUUCAUAUUAUGCAGCUGUUGUUGGCAGUAGAUUUGGUUAAAAUGACAUCACCUUCGUUAAUUCAUGCUCCUGUAGAAUCAAUUGGACAGCCUCAAAUAGAGUAUUUUACCUUUUUCCACGCAAGAUAUAUAAGAUGUCUUGAAUUUAAAAUAAACAAAAUAGAACAAAAUCGAAAAAAAAAAAACCCAUAACCUUCCAUUCUUAUUACAGCAGAUGUAAGGAGACUCUUCUUGACUUUGAUUGUGCAAACACUGUGGCCAUUUGGACAUAAGAAGACCCAGUUGAAUAGAAAUUGAAGACAUACCUGUCCUAGUACCUCAGAUGGUCUGCUUUCCACAUUGUUGUUCUGAGAAGAUGAUGAUAGGGAAUCUGUUUUUUCUUCAUGCCCAUCUCUCUACAUGCAGACAAAUAUUGUCAAGAGUCCCCACAUUGCAGCAGAGCCUUGAGUGCGUGGCAUUGCCUGAAACUUGUGCUCCUUGAUUGAUCUGAAUCCUUAAGAACAGGGAAGGAUUAGUGAGUACUGCUUCUAUUAACUCCCUUUUGGUCCCACUGCCUUUCUGGCUUUUUCUGGCCAUUCUCAGAUUGACCUUGGGUUGUAACAGAUGAUGGGGGAAAAAAAAUACAAGGCUUUUAAAUACGUCAGAUAGCGCUCUCUUUAAAAAAAGAAAAAAAAGUCUGUUUAAACAGCUGGGACUGGAGUUAAUUUGUGAAGGCCUGUUUGUGGUAUAAGUUCCACAGGGAAAGCUGAAAUGAAGAAAGGAUAUAAUACCCUUCUUUAUGAAAAUAAACAAAACCCUUGAAGCUAGUAUUGCUUAACCCUAGCAUAGAAAGAUGCAGGACUUUUGCUUCUCUUUUUGCUAAGCAAAAUGUAUACAGAGAUUAUAUAUAUUUUUAAAGGUAGCAAGCAUCUUUGGAGAUGGUGCCAAAAAACUGGUAAAAUAGUAUACUCUCUGCCUUUUGGCUUACCCUACACUAAACGUUAUUAGUGUCCCACAGUCAGCUACAUCUUUCUGACAUUGAAUCCUCUUUGCACUCUGAAGAUCGUAACAAUGAAAUAAUUAAACUCAGAUACAUGACACUGUGGAGUCAUGACUGUGUAUGAGGACACAAUUCCCCAUCUGGACAAGGAGAAAUGUUCUAUAGCAGUUAUGGGCAGUUGUAAGUGAAGUAGCUAAUUCAUCUUAGUCACAAAAUCAGGGUGCAAAAUGACCCCACUUGGUUCAUGACACUGUCUAUAUCUAGGGAGUCUGCACAUGAGUUACGAAUUCCGGCUUGACUUAUUGAACCUGGUUUUAACUCUUGAUAAUUGUCUUGGUUUCUCUUAUAUCUUUUCUCUCUCCUGUGAUGUUUCCUUUGGUUCCUGUGCUUUGUAAAAGACAAUUUAUUUAUGAGCUGAUUUGUUGAGAUCUAUCCAGGAUCUGAUGAUUUGGCCUGCUCCUGAAAGAGGCCUACUACAGGUAAAAUGAGCUUUUUAUUGUGUCACCGCAGGGGCCAGGGCACAAAAUAUCAGGCAUAGUUUGAGACUGGAGUAUAAGGCCUAGACUCGACCAAGAAGUAGUAAAAACAGCACAUUUAUUUUCUAGUUAGUGGAUACCUCUGGUCAGUGAGUCCCACCUUUUGCUGAAGCUGCCAUAGGUUCCUGAGCAAAGAAAGUCUAAGCUUUUCCUAGUAACCUAGUAACCAGGUCUGAAUGCACUAGCUGUUUGGUUUUGUGUUUUCUUUUGUUCGAAAGCUGAAACUUGCAUGCUCAUUUCUGAAAUGGCCGAGCAUCUUUGGCCCUGUGGAUGUCCCUUUCCCUCUCAACCUCAACGUCAAGCUGCAUGGAAUUGGCCGUGUAACCCUAAAACAGCUUCACCAUCUGUUACCAUACAGGAACCCACAUUUAGACUGGUGACACUGAUAACACGCCUUUUAUUUUUUCCUUCUUCAAUCAUGCUGAGACCGAGGAUAAUUAUCAUACUUCUUACAAACCUGUUCUUGUAGCUGAUGCAAAACCUUGUAAAGGCAUGUUAAAAUAACUUGCUUAAGCAUGGUAAUUUUCUAAAAAGUAAGGAUGCUGGAAAACAGAACAAACUCAUUUAAGGAUUCAUAGGAAAAGAGUGCUGGCUAUUUAUAAUCUCAGGAUUUUAAACAGAAUAACGACUCAAAAGUGUGCAGUGAAUUUUGGUUGUGAAGAAAGCAAAGAUGGAAGCUUGAGAAAUCAGCUUCUGAUGUAUUAAAAAUAAAAAUCUGUGAAGUGUCUUUUCUCUGCUUGGACUAAAGAAGCCUUCCAUGUGAUCCUGGCAGAGGCAGAAAGACUUGGUUGGCCUGAAUGAAAUAAAUCACUGCUCUUAAUACAAUAUUAGUUUGAAGCAAGCUCUGAAUUCUAACCUCUGUAGGCCUGAGAUAGUCAGUAGUUUGCACAUGCACAGCUGAGAAGCUGUUGAUCUUCUUGUUUAUUUUUUCUGCACUAAUUAUCCUAAUCUUUGUAAAACAUGUUAUUCCAUCUUAUACUCCAUAGAUUAAAGCCAGAAUUACUAAUAAACAGGAUUUUUGCUGCCUUGUUGUAAAAUGCUUGUGGUGUCAUUAGGAGCAGUCGGAGCUCUUUACAUUCCUGACCUAUGACUCAAAAUGGAUGUGUAAUUCAGAAUAAGCACAAUGGUAAGGACUCUCCUAUUCGCACUUAGUGUCUUUGAUGGAGAAAGCAAACAUCUUCUUUAUAAUACUUAUCAAGUUCAGCUGAGAAAUAGGCUUAAAAAUAUGACUUCUUUUGUAUAGUUCCAAGCUUGUUAGCCUUGUUGGCCAGUACUGGCAA